rnacentral:ncRNA from 1 species
AACAUACUAAGUGAUCACUUUCAAAUUCAGAGAAACCCUGGAAUUAGAAAUGGGCAAUCCUGAGCCAAAUCCUGUUUUCCGAAAAAAAAAAAGAAGUCAAUUAAAAGAAUCAAAUCAAAAAAGUAAAAAAAAAAAGGAUAGGUGCAGAGACUCAAUGGAAGCUGUUCUAAAAAAUGGAGUUGACUGCUGCAUUACGUUAGUCAAGUCAAGUCAAGGAAUCCUUGCAUCGAAACUUUUUCAAGGAUAAAGGAUAACCUUUCUUUCUAUCAAACUCUAAAAAUAAAAAAUAUAAAUMCUUUUUGAAUCAAUUGGAAGUUGAAGAAAGAAUAAAAUAUGAUUUUAUCAAAUCAUUUACUCCAAAGUCUGAUAUAUCUUUUUUCAAAAAGAUUAGUCAGACGAGAAUAAAGAUAGAGUCCCAUUCUAUAUGUCAAUAUUGAC